rnacentral:rRNA from 1 species
GACGGAGGGUGCAAGCGUUGUUCGGAAUUACUGGGCGUAAAGGGCGCGUAGGCGGUCCGCUAAGUUCGGCGUGAAAUCCCCUGGCUCAACUGGGGAACUGCGCUGGAUACUGGUGGACUAGAGUACCGGAGAGGAGAGUGGAAUUCCUGGUGUAGCGGUGAAAUGCGUAGAUAUCAGGAGGAACACCGGUGGCGAAGGCGGCUCUCUGGACGGAUACUGACGCUGAGGCGCGAAAGCGUGGGGAUCAAACAGG